GACGAACGCUGGCGGCGUGCUUAACACAUGCAAGUCGAACGGAAAGGCCCUGCUUUUGUGGGGUGCUCGAGUGGCGAACGGGUGAGUAACACGUGAGUAACCUGCCCUUGACUUUGGGAUAACUUCAGGAAACUGGGGCUAAUACCGGAUAGGAGCUCCUGCUGCAUGGUGGGGUUGGAAAGUUUCGGCGGUUGGGAUGGACUCGCGGCUUAUCAGCUUGUUGGUGGGGUAGUGGCUUACCAAGGCUUUGACGGGUAGCCGGCCUGAGAGGGUGACCGGCCACAUUGGGACUGAGAUACGGCCCAGACUCCUGCGGGAGGCAGCAGUGGGGAAUAUUGCACAAUGGGCGGAAGCCUGAUGCAGCAACGCCGCGUGCGGGAUGACGGCCUCGGUUGUAACCGACUUCGUCCUCGUGACGAAGCGUGAGUGACGGUAA
rnacentral:rRNA from 1 species